rnacentral:misc_RNA from 1 species
CGCAUCUUUCCAAAUACUCCACCACAGGCAACAACAUCACCCUUUUUUAGGGUUCCAUUCUGCACAAUUAGUGUCGCUAUGGGGCCUUUCGAUUUAUCAAGGCCAGCCUCUAUGACAGUGCCUUUAGCUUUUCUGUGAGGGUUGGCCUUCAGUUCUUGCAACUCCGCAACAAGCAAGAUAGUUUCCAGCAACUCAUCUACAUUCUCCCCUUUCAAGGCACUAAUCUGAACCAUAGGG